GCUGACAGUUUUUACACAGACGUAGGCCUAUAUUCAGACAGAUCAGCCAUUUUACAGCUCUGGAGCAGAGGGGGUCAGUGCCUGGACUGUGUCUCAUUUGACUGGCUCUGAACUCAGAUGACUUCAGGAUGGAGAAAGAACACAAAGAAAAACACACCCUUAGCCAGGAAGUCCUUAAGGAGAGGGUGAAGAUGAAUCACAGGAGGUUUCCACAGCCUAGUCCUCUCCAGGCCUUCAGAUGCAUAAUGCAGGUUGUGAUUGGCUCUGGGUUGAGCUAUUUCCUCUAGAGAGCCUUAUGUCUGCUUUAUAGCUGCUUCUUGUUCAGCCAUCCAGCAACACUGAACCCCACACUGACUCACUGUGGCUUUAUGAAGCACCAUAAACACCAGAGACUAUGUUACAUGAUGACAAUGAUACAUGCACCUUAAGUGGGUGUUUGAGAGUGUUCUCUGCUAUUAUAUCACUGUCUGGUUCGGGAAAUGCAAUGUCGCUGAAGAAAAUUCCCUGCAGAGGAUAGUGAGGAUGGCAGAGAGGAUCAUUGGGGUUCCUCUCCCACCCAUCUCCCAACUCUAUAAGAAGCACAUCAGUCACCAUGCCAACAGCAGAGUGCAGGACAAGUCCCACCCAUCACAUGCACUGUUCUUCUCCCUGAUGUCUGGCAGAAGGUAUCGCAGCAUCCGAACCGUCACUGUCAGACACUGCAACAGCUUCUUCCCUGAGGCAGUCAGAGUCCUCAACUCACUGUUACCCCUGAAGAACUGACAGUAGUCAAAUAGUUCAAACUGAAACUAUUGUUUUUCAUCAAUCCAUUUGCACUAUACUGCCCAUUUGCACACACAUGCACAGUGCUCACCUUGUACAGUGGUGCUUGAAAGUUUGUGAACCCCUUUAGAAUUUUCUAUAUUUCUGCACAAAUAUGACCUAAAACAUCAUCAGAUUUUCACACAAGUCCUAAAGAGAACCCAGUUAAACAAAUGAGACAAAAAUAUUAUACUUGGUCAUUUAUUUAUUGAGGAAAAUGAUCCAAUAUUACAUAUCUGUG